CAUCUAGCGCUGCAGGACAAAGACAGUUAAACUGACUGCAGUUUAAAUCGGAGAGUUGAUUGUCCCUUGUUUAUUCCUUUUUCAGUGUAUGUCUAGCUGUGCAUCAUGGAAAGAAAUAUGUCAAAACUUGAGGCAUCAGCCAAGUACAGGCAUGAAAAUGACUGGAAACACAAGCAAACAAACAAGCAAAGGACAAAGGACCAAAUUCAGAGAAGCAGGACACUGCUGAACAGCUGAUCUGCCGUUAGCUGCGUAAAUUUCCCUCACGGUGAGCAGCUCCCAGAGCCCAGCUGAAUUAAUCACAGCCACACGGACACACGGGGGGCAGCCUGAGGAGGAGGACCGAGAGGAGGCUAGAGGAGAAACCAUGCUGUGAGAAAAGAGGCAGAGAAGAGGUUAGAGCUGUAACAUCUAUGGAGUGAAAGGGUACAAAGGGUUACAAUUCCACAAAUGCUUUUUUUGAGAAAACAAAAGCUGGCAAAUAAUUUGCCCUAACUAUAAAGUUAACAAGAAAAAUUUGGAUACACUUUAUUAUUAUUAUUAUUAUUAUUAUUAGUAGUAGUAGUAGUAGUAGUAGUAGUAGUAGUAGUAGUAGUAGUAAUUGGCAUUUGAGGGGAAGUCGUGGCCUAAUGGUUAGAGAGUUUGAUAAGUUUAGUAAUCUAUGUAAAAAUCAAAUGUACAUGAUGCCUUAAAGGGGUCAUGACAUGGGUUUAUUUAUUUUAUUAUUAUGGUCCCCUAGGUGCAAUUAUAGUAUUACUAUAGUUUUAAAAAAAAAAAAAAAAACUUUUAAAAUGUAGUGAAUUAUGACAUUUUCCCACCCUGUUUCUCAUCCUUUGAUUCAAACAGUCUGUUUUUGGGUUGUUUCCCCUUUAAGAGUUCAGUGUUAACGCCCACUGUUAUGAUUGGCUAACGACAGUGCCUAUGGCUUAAUUAUUAACACCCCCAGCCAGAACAUUUGCGAUUGAGCGUAACUGUUUAGUAGUGGGUGAUGCAUUCGAAGCGAUGGCUCUUGCAAUGAUAAAACCUUAUAUGUUUGAGCACAUCUGCGUGGCAUUGUAAUUUUCCUGUACACAGACCCACUCGCUGUCCGUCGACUCAACACUUGUGAGGCGCGCGGCGCGACAACGAUACGAAAUGAGCGUAGUUGUCUUGUGCUGGAGGCGGUCAUAUGCAAAUGGUUGGAACCUCACUUCGCACCGUGACGUCACUUCUUACCAUGGAUCCAGAACGAGCUGUAUUUAGAGCUUGAUUAAAUAAAUGGCUCGUUUAUAAUGGGGAGGACGUCUUA
ensembl:lncRNA